GGAUUUCCCUAGUAGCGGCGAGCGAAGCGGAAACAGCCCAAGAUGUAAAUCCCUUCGGGGAAUUGUAGUCUGAGCGUCCUGGGACGGUCAGUGCGGGCAAGUCGCCUGGAACGGCGCGCCAUGGAGGGUGAGAGCCCCGUCCAUCCCGCACAGGAUCCACCUAUACAAGGACGUUUCAACCGAGUCGGGUAGCUUGGGAAUGCUGCUCUAAUUGGUGGUAAAUCUCAUCAAAGGCUAAAUAACGGUGGGAGACCGAUAGCGAACAAGUACCGUGAGGGAAAGAUGGAAAGAACUUUGAAAAGAGAGUGAAAAGCACUUGAAACCGUCACGGGGGAAGCGGAUUGCGUGAGUGAUGGUGUAGUUUGUUCAGCGCUUUAUUGCGUGCAUUCAGACAACACCGUGCCGGCGUGGCUGGUUGGUGCGUGAAUUUGACGUGCCGACUGGUGAGGGCUCCCUUUUUUUUUAGGUUGAGGACGCAGGCAAAAUGACGCAAUACGACCCGUCUUGAAACACGGACCAAGGAGUCUAGCACGGCUGCCAGUCGAAGGGUGAUUAAACCCAAGGGCGCAGUGAAAGCGAAAUAUAAGCAAAUUGGGGAGGCGUUGCGUUUUUAACAAAAUGUCCUACCUUGAGCAUUUGUGCUGGGACCCGAAAGAUGGUGAACUAUGCCGGAGUAGGGCAAAGCCAGAGGAAACUCUGGUGGAGGCUCGUAGCGAUGCUGACGUGCAAAUCGCUCGUCGAACUUGGGUAUAGGGGCGAAAGACUAAUCGAACCAUCUAGUAGCUGGUUCCCUCCGAAGUUUCUCUCAGGAUAGCGGGCCGACAAUUUGUUGUUUUGUGCGGUAAAGCGAAUGAUUAGUGCAUUUGGGGAACGAAGUUCUUCGGGCGAUUCUCAAACUUUAAAUGCGCAAGGGAGUGGCUGCUUAAUUGAGCCUACUCUUCGAAAAACGUCGGCCCUGUGGGCCACUUUUGGUAAGCAGAACUGGCGAUAAGGGAUGAACCUUAAGCGCGGUUAAGGCGCCUCAUUACCCGCUUAUAGACCCCACAAAAGGUGUUGAUUCAUUUAGACAGCAGGACGGUGGCCAUGGAAGUCGGAAUCCGCUAAGGAGUG
rnacentral:rRNA from 1 species